rnacentral:sRNA from 1 species
UCCUCCUCUUCCUCCUCUAGUUCCUGAAUUCCUCUGUCCUCCAAAGCAGACAUUGAACUUCUGAAGUACCCUUCUGUUCUUAUCUCUCUGACACAGAGCUCUGGCACUAAGACUGUAAGACUAUGGCAAUCAAAUACAGUUGGCAGAACUUGGCAAACCCCAGAAGACAAGCAAAGUAUGAAUGGUCACUUUAAGCAAAAACUGAAGAGAAGAAAAGAGGCCAGAUGUUAGAUCCUAUGGAGUAACAUACAGUUGAGAGCCACUAUGUUGGGUGCUGGUAAUGGAACCCCGGUUCUCUGCUGACCAGGCACUAAUCUGAGCCACUGCACAAACUCUCCAGCCCCCAAAAUGAAUAUUUUCAUCAAAUGCUAGAAUUAUGAAACUGGGGCAAAUCACUUCAGGAAAGUACAGCAGGACUCAAGGCAGGAUGCACGAGCACGUGUUCAUGGUGAUCUGGUACAGUGACAUUAUUUUUGUGAAAAUACCUUUUACAUUCUAAGAGACUGGAAUGUUCGCUGGCCCUCACAGACAAGUUAAUAAUACCCAUGGAGGUCAUUUAUGAUCAACGAUAUGCUGGAAUGAAACAAGCAUGCAAAGCAACUGCAUCAAACCAAGAUUUAAGGGAAGAAACACAGGGGACAGACAGCAGCACUCACCUCUGUUUCAAAAGUGAACUAAGCAAAAACUGGAGGGAUGCAUGGGCAUCGUUCAGAAGACCCAAGCUGGGUCUCAGUGCUCUCACGGCAGCUCUCAUCCACCAGUCGCACCAGUCUUUUCUGGCCUUCUUGGGAACCAGGCAGCUACAUUUACAAUGCUCUUAAAUUACUCAUUUGUAGGCAAAACAUUCAUACACAUAGAUAGAUAGACAGACAGACAGACAGACAGACAGACAGACAGAUAGAUAGAUAACCUUAUUUUAAGAAGGAAACUAGGCAUAGAGGCUAUGGCAGGAAGAGAUCCAGGCUGGCCAAAGUUAUAAUGUGAGAAGCACUCUCCAAAAGUAAAAAAUAAAGAAGAAAAGACAGCAAGACCUCACUACUUUUAUUCUAAGCAAACUCUAAAUUUUUCUACUAAAGCUCAAAUAAAAAUUUUACCAUUUACUUUGAGUUAUUAAACUUUUCUGCUUCUCUUUAUGGGAAAUUUGGAGAAAGAUAACUUCUAGUAUCUUGAACAUUUGUUUGUUUGGGUUUUGUUUGUUUUUUGAGGGUUUUUGAUGUCAUUACAUUGUAGUUGAUUAUUAAAUUGCUAGACUUGAAAUUUUGUGUUUGGUUAAUAAAACAUUUAAAAGUAAGAAUUAAACAUUUGGUGUCUACUUGUUAUUGUUAAUUAAAUGUGUUUACCCUUUUUUUCCGGUCUUGUUAACAAUGCGUUUCUUUGAAGGCUGUCAAUGGUUAGCUGGGUAAAGGUGCUCAUUACCAAGGAUCUACAUGGUAAAGGGAGAGGACCAACUCU